GAUCAUGGCUCAGGACGAACGCUGGCGGCGUGCUUAACACAUGCAAGUCGAACGAGAAUCUGUGGAUCGAGGAUUCGUCCAAGUGAAGCAGAGGACAGUGGCGGAUGGGUGAGUAACGCGUGAGGAACCUGCCUUUCAGAGGGGGACGAACAGUUGGAAACGACUGCUAAUACCGCAUGAUACAUUUGGGUGGCAUCAUCUGAAUGUCAAAGAUUUAUCG
rnacentral:rRNA from 1 species